AUUUACAUAAUAAAUAUA
rnacentral:tRNA from 1 species